rnacentral:rRNA from 1 species
GGCACCUACGGGAGGCAGCAGUGGGGAAUAUUGCGCAAUGGGCGAAAGCCUGACGCAGCGACGCCGCGUGAGGGAUGAAGGUCUUCGGAUCGUAAACCUCUGUCAGCAGGGAAGAACGGUCACUGUGCUAAUCAGCAGUGAAUUGACGGUACCUGCAAAGGAAGCACCGGCUAACUCCGUGCCAGCAGCCGCGGUAAUACGGAGGGUGCGAGCGUUAAUCGGAAUUACUGGGUGUAAAGGGAGCGUAGGCGGGGAUGCAAGUUGGGGGUCAAAACCACGGGCUCAACCGAUAGUCGCACUCAAAA